AAAAGAGAAAAUUCACAAAAAAUAUCAAAUGACCAAAUAAAAAGUAUUAAAAAUCAGAAAUAGAAACUAGAAUUUAUUUGGAGACUAAUGCAAUUGGUCCCAUAAUUUUUGGAUUAAAAAUGAGAGAGUUAUAAAUUUUUGAAAUAAAAAGGAAUUAAAGAAACUAAAAUCAGAAAUAAGAAAAUAGCAAAAAACAGGAAGCGUUGGAUGACUUCAUUAAUUGACGUGGCAACAUCCAAUGGAUAUGGAGCGCGCGCGUACCAUAGUCAUUAGUCAACUGAGAAGUACAAUGCAUUAAAUAAAGUCAUAACAAGCGAGGGCCAGGAUUAGAUCUGGAAAUUCAAUCUAACGAUCCACAAUGCAUCUGGCAAUGGGACGGCCACCAGAGCCACC
rnacentral:lncRNA from 1 species